rnacentral:misc_RNA from 1 species
UGAUAGCUCAAUAUAUAAAAAUAUUAAUCUUCAAGAGAAAAAUUGGGAAUUGAUUUUUAAAAUAUCAUUUUAGAUAAAAUGCUAUUUUAAUUAAUUAAUUACUAAUAAUUAAUACAUAUGAUGCUAAUUAAUCCAAGCAAGCUGUGGAUUCCCAUAAUCAUUCUAAUAUAAAGAGAGGAGAAGAGGAGCAAUCCAAAUAUUAGACUCCGACAGGCUGAGGUGGCGCAGGAGGCAGAGGAGGAGGUGAAGGAGGAGAAGCAGCCACUGCAGUCACCGGUACAGCAGCUUCUUGACGGCGGUGUGUAUUCUUGUUGUUAUGCAUCCAAACCUU